GUUCCAGGCACUGAUGAAGAGAUGUGUGUGACGUGGUAUGGAAAGUGAUGAACGUUCCUAUGAGGUUCUAGAAGACACGGGUCAUCUGAAAGCAGAGCUGCUAUAGAGAUACCAUGUCUCACUACUAAAGGACCUGAAAUCUACGCCCAACUGAGGGGCGCAAGGAAAACCAACGGCCACCUCAGUCCCCUUAUGAAGUACCAUGCUCUAGGCUGAAUGCAUAGGUAUCAAGAUGCAGGAACUGGUCUGGUGAAAUGACAUCACUUGUUCAAGGCCAUGGAGAUGGCCAGUCUAUGAUAUGAAGGAAGAUGUAUCAGAAAACUGAUCUAUACAGUUGAACAAAUACUGUUCCCUCAAAAGGUAAUUUGUUGCUAGAGCUAGAGGAAAGUUGAAAACAUGGCUUUAAAAAGAAAACAACAUAUGAGAUCAUGCACCUUCAGUGGUUACAGGGAAGUAUUCCAGGCCUGAACCAUGUGCGUUACGGCUUUUGUGAACGAUGCAGCCAGUCUAUCAGAAGAGGGCUGAUGUCACCAGACAAGCUAACUUUUGAAAUAGUCAACAAACUGUAUGUGAACUGGGCAAGGUGAAGAAACUGAAGCUUAGGAACCAAGACUGAAUUAAAAGCCCAAUGGCCUUACUCUCGAACUUCCUCCCAGGGAGCAGGCCUUCCCCUGGAAGACAAUGGGGUUCGGUCUACUUCUCGCUAUUCCUCUGUUGCUUUCCUGAGGACUAUGAAACUACGCCUUCGGUUCAGUGACAUCUCAGAAAGCUCUUGGAGGGAAUUGCAUUCUAUCCACAAGAGUGGAGGUACAACUUCAACUUCAGGAAGAGGUUGUGUUUGCCAUUUUCUCAGGGUUUGGGUCUGGCUGGGGUGAAAGAUGUUCAGUAACUGAGAAAGCAUCCUGGUCACACUGUAGAAUUUCUUCUAAAUUCUCUCCUUGGAAUCUGAGUGUGAUUAUGAAUUUUUUAAAUAUUUAAUCCCAUGGGUAAGUGAUUAGGGGGAAAAAAAUGUAAGCCUCCUUAAAGAAGGCAAUAAUGACAAAAAGGUAGAGAAACACGGCAUUAGAUCAUAUAUCCCAGAUCCCCUUAUUAUUCAUUUAAACAUUUCAAAUUGUUGCCAGCUUUAAAACUUAGAAGAUUUUAUGUAAAUAUCUAAACUCCUGGUGUCUUUUAAAAAUGAAAGUCAGAAGAUCUGGCAAUUGUGGGCUCAUGGUUUCCAUGGCAAUAAUUGACCAAACCUGUGUAGCAGCUUCACCAAUGAGUAGGUCAUAUGCUGUGUUGUGCAUCCUAACCUGUCACAUUCCCCACUAAUUAUGUUCAUUCUGACCCAUUUCACUUUUCUGGGCUACCCGUCUGGACACUACAGGUAUCUAUUAACAUUCUCAGUACUCAGAUAAAAAUCAUUACAGUUUCAGAGACAGAUGUUUUAGCAGUCCAGGGAGAGAGAAGUCAGCAAAGCAUUGAGAGCUCAAAGAUGGCUUCAUAAGAAAAGUGGGAAUGAAGCUGUCUUAUAACAAAUCAAGAUUUAUUGAGGCAAUAAAGGAAGGUACUUUAGUGGAGGGUGUAUAAUAAGAGGAACAAGAGAUAAUGCAAAAUUAAAUUCUGGUGGACAAAAGACCAACUGUGCAAAGUAAAACUUUUAAACACUUAGAAUAAAAUGUGAAACAUUAUAUUUACAAUCUUAGGUUUGAAAAGAUUUUCCCUUUUAAAAGACAUAAGAAAGGAUGAACCAUAAAGGAAAAAAAAUGGGUAAGCUUGAAUCCAUUCAAUAAAGAACAUCUGUUUAUCGAAAGACAUCAUAAACAAGGUAAAAAGACAAGGAACAGAUUUUUAGAAGAUAUUUGCAAUGCAUAAAACUGACAAAAGCGAAGUAUCCAGAAUUUAUAGAGAGCUUCUACAAAUCAAAAUGAAAAAAAGAUAAAACAACCUAAUGAAAAAGUGGGCAAAAUAUAUGAAACUGUCAUUCACAAAAGGUGAAAGCCAAAUGGCCAAUAAGUACAUGAGAAUGUCAUCAAUCUGAAACGUUAUCAGAGAAAGACAGAUUAAAACAAUAGAAAGCUAUUAUUUUGUGCCCCUGAGAUUUCCAUAAAUCUAAAGUCAAAUAAUGCCAAAGCGCUAGACACAGAUCUGGGAAAUUUGGAAAUUCCAAACAGUGAAAGUUGGCACACAUCUUCGAAGGACAAAUGACAAUAUUGAAUAAAUUGUGUUAUAUAUGUAUUUUUUAACCCAGUGACAUAAGUGCUAUAUAUGUACCUUGAAGAAAUAUUCAUGCAUGGGCAAAAGACAAUGAAUGCUUAACUAUCCAUUAUGUUAUUGUAUGUGGUUCAGAAACACACUUUAAAUUGAAAAUUAAGAUUAGGGGUCCCCUGAGUGGCUCAGUUGGUUAAACACCUGCCGUUGGCUCAGGUCAUGAUCAAG